rnacentral:tRNA from 1 species
GGGCCGUUAGCUCAAUCGGUAGAGCUGCUGACUUUUAAUCAGUAGGUUCCGGGUUCGAGCCCCGGGCGGCCCACAA